UAGCUCGCCAUAUAUCCUUCUUCUUAUCUUUUUUCAGCAUACUGUCAAUUCUCUGCUGCUUUGAAUCCUUGCUGGACAAAGCAUGUGGAUCCAAAUCCUGAAUGCUGGCUCCUGCUGGAAUAUCUCUGGAGGACCUCCUCCUACUGCCAAAAGCUCUCAACAAAGAAGACAUGCUGCGUCUGCUCCCUCUACCACCAGGCUCUCUGACUGAAGUAGUCCUCCUGAACUCGAAUUCUCUCCUACCAGUCGCUGAUCCAGAUCCUGAUUCAUAGCAUGAUGGUC
rnacentral:lncRNA from 1 species